CCAAAAAAAUCAAUUGUCCUUCCUUUUUAAAGGUUUGCUCGCUCCUUCCGAAAAAAAAAAAAAAGGGAGAAAAGAAAGAAAAAAAAAAAAAAACCUUCUGGUUCCCAACUCGGAGCAGUCACUCUUUACAAUUUAUUUUGUCGUACAUCAUUUGAUCACCAUGAAUUAGCAACAGCAAGAAAAUGUACGAGAGAGAGAGAAGGGGAGAGAGAGAAAGAGAGAGAGAGAGAGCGCAGAGCUUUCUGCAAGAGAAGAAGAAGAAAAAAUGUACGUGUGACAAAUUAUGCUACCAAGAAACAACACAUCAUUAUCCUUGGGCCUGGGGCUCAGUGAGUCGUAACGAGAGUAAUAGGAAAUCCACGGUUGGGGAGAGAAACGGUCGUGCAUGGCCAGUGGAGAGAGACCAUACAGGGGGAUGGAUGCUGGAGAGACUCGCAAAAUUAUGGCUCAAGGCUAUUGUAAAAAUUGUCGAGCGUAAAUGACUGCGAUUUCAAACAUCUUUGGAAGAAAGAAGGGGAAAAAGCGAGCCCCCCCCCCCGCCUCCCUCCCUCUUGCUCUCCCUCUCUCUUCUCUCUCUCUAUAAAGAACCGUCAAGUUUUAGUGCGCAUUGCUAAUUAGUCAAUUUCUCUCUGCCUUCACAGGCUGGCGACUUUGCUGCUGAGCUGAAACUGCUAAUUUCUGUGACCAGCUUUUUUCUUAGCUGUGAUCUGGAUGAAUGAGUAGCUGUCUCACAGAGAUGACAAAAAUAAACUCUAAUCCCCCCAAAAAUUUCCACUACAUCUUUCUCAUGCAUAGAUUUAUGAUCUUCAAGUGCCCUGUGCAAUAUGCAAACUUUUUGUCUGCGAGUGUGUGUGUGUGCUGGAGUGGGGGGGGUAAGUCUGUUGUAUUCAGGUUGCACAGUAUUUGGUUUGUGUCUCUGCUCUCCCCCCACACCCCAGAUGUGAUGGAAAUAAUGUCUGAUUUCAGCACCCAAUAUAUUCACACACACACACACACACACACACCCCCCUUGUAUUUAUAUUAUUGCUCUGACAGGAUACAUCCUCCUUCCUUGCAAGUAUGAUGAGGCUGGAGGGGUGAAAGGGAGAGAAAGAAAGUGAGGCUACUAAAUGGUAUUAGUGGUAAAACGUUCCCUUUACAUUUGUUCCCCUGCACUGUUGAAGAUUUAUGAUCUUGUUUGAAGGCAUAUUUUCUCUAUCGUUUUGUCUGGUUAGACAACCGUCUCUGAACUUCACUGUCAGCUCUUCAACAGAUAAGGGUUCAGAAGUCACAUUUUUUUUUUAUUGGAAGAUUAGCAUAUUGUCAGAUUUGUCUUUCAGUUUCGAGACUUUGCAAUGCAGAAGCCUGAAUCAAAUGGCAGGAAAGCAGCUGCUAUUUCACAAAUGUAACCUUUCAACUUUCUGCCAGAGCUGAUACCCCAGAAACGUGCACAGCACAGCCCAUAGGUUGGGGCUUUGUUUUGGUUUUUGAUCCUUUAUAGUCGUGAAAAACAGAGGGAAUUCUCAUUGUAGACAUUUUGGGCUUUUUCUUUCCACCGAGGGGCAUUUUGGUAGAGGACACGUUCUCCACAAUUUGUCUCAUGAUAUAUUGCACCCUCACAUUUAUAGCUCUGUUCUUCUGUUGUCAAACUUCCAACUGUCAAAAAACAAAAAAAAAAAAAAAAAAAAACCCAAAAAAACCCCAACAGACAAAAAGGUGGAAUGUGUGCCCUUGAAUGAAAUGCGCAUGAAAGGAGACUGGGGCAAGCACUUACAGAAAGUUUUACCUGGUGUGAAAGCCAUGAGUCCCAUCCCCUUUCCCAGCUAAUACUCAGACCCCACUAAUUAAACUACACACUAGGAGUGGGACUUUGAAUGCCAGGUCUCAUGGUCUUUGUCUUUGACUUGGCCUAGGAUGCCAGCGCAUUUACAGAGCUGGAGUCAGAGUGCUCAGGAAUGCAUAGAACUGGAACUGAAAGGCAUCAAGGCAGUUUUUGCUUUUAUUUACUUUCUGGUGACCUUAUAAAAGGAGUUCUGCCAUACCUUUCUGGUUUUCCUCACCAGAUAGCUCCCUUCCUCCUCCCUUGGACAUCAAUUAUUUCUGCAAGACAUUUCCAAGAGAGAUUAGCUGGUGUUUCAGGGCGUGGUAUUCUUUCCCAAAGAAUGACACCAUCAUAUGCUGCCUCUAAAACCAUUUUCUUUGUUUUGACCCUGUCAUGCCUCCCCUUCCUCUCAGUUGUACCCUGUUGGCCACCCAGAUUUUGACCCUGUUCAGGUGAAGAAAAUCAUGAAUUAUAAGAUGCCUCCAUUUCGAUAGUAGCUGGUAUCUUCAGUGGUGCGAGUUGUCUCCCAACUGUAGUAGAUGGGAAGAACAGUUUUUAUAUCAUGCUUGUGCUGCUGAACUUUACUGCUGUAAUGGCUGUAAAUAAUCCUCAUGAGGUUUUGUAUCAGUUUUCACUGACUGAUGUGUCACACACUCUUAUACCAUUGUAAGCUGCCAAAAUAUGUCUGUGCCAAUGUGUAGCGAGUUUCUGGAACUAGCAUACUGGUUUGUUUGCUCAUUAGUGAAAAGAUCUGGGUAAUUUUUAUUUAACUUUGCUACACUAACUCAAGUUGAAAUAAAGUUUUGUCUUAC
rnacentral:lncRNA from 1 species